rnacentral:rRNA from 1 species
UGGGGAAUAUUGCACAAUGGGCGCAAGCCUGAUGCAGCCAUGCCGCGUGUAUGAAGAAGGCCUUCGGGUUGUAAAGUACUUUCAGCGGGGAGGAAGGGAGUAAAGUUAAUACCUUUGCUCAUUGACGUUACCCGCAGAAGAAGCACCGGCUAACUCCGUGCCAGCAGCCGCGGUAAUACGGAGGGUGCAAGCGUUAAUCGGAAUUACUGGGCGUAAAGCGCACGCAGGCGGUUUGUUAAGUCAGAUGUGAAAUCCCCGGGCUCAACCUGGGAACUGCAUCUGAUACUGGCAAGCUUGAGACUCGUAGAGGGGGGUAGAAUUCCAGGUGUAGCGGUGAAAUGCGUAGAGAUCUGGAGGAAUACCGGUGGCGAAGGCGGCCGCCUGGACGAAGACUGACGCUCAGGUGCGAAAGCGUGGGGAGCAAACAGG